rnacentral:lncRNA from 1 species
CAAAUAGUUCCACUUUGUAAUGGUGUGUUAUAAUAGUCAAAAUAAUAAUAUAAGAAAACAGGUUUAUAUGGCACUUGAACAUGGUCUUUUCAAUGAGUAUGUAAAGGUAAGUUUAUACUUCAAAAAGGUCUGUUUUUAACCUGACAAGAAUUUCGUCCAAAAUUAACUAAAACUCAAUCUUUGUGACCUUUCAAUGAAAUUUCAUAAGUUCAAUCAGCAACUGCUACUACUGUAUAUGUCUUUUGAUGUCUGUGUUUGGUUUGCUUUAAUGUUGAUACCAGAAAUUGAUGAAAAUGCAAUAUAAUAUUUUGUUUGUUGAGAUCUGAGGAUUGUAUGGAAACUGGAGGACUUUGAUCAAAACUGUUUGUCUACUUUUGAGUUAACAAAGUAUACCCAUGCAAAACUUAGUUUCUGUUUUUUUUUAUUAUGCAACACAAUAAGCUGUUUCCUAAUUGAAAAUUACCUUUUGGUUUUGACCAAUAUAAAGAAAAGUGUAAAAAAAAUUUUAUGAACAUUUGAAAGUUUGGUUCAACCACAUUUUGUAAUUGUGUAUUUCGCUACAUGUUUUGCAUCAAAAACAUUUCCUGAAGUGUUUUUUUUUCUAUUAUAAAUAAUAUAAAACCGGAGAACUUUUCCCUAGGUGAAAUUUAGGAGAUGUUUGUAGUGGAUCAAUGUGUGUCAUUUUAUUAUAUUUAUCAAGGACGAGAAAUGUAGCAUUUUCUUAAGCAAAGCAAAUUGAAACCGAAUUUUUGAUCGAAAAAUCAAUCAGAAUUGAAGAAAUAAUAACAUUCUUUUAAAAUUUUAUUGAACUGCAUUUUCAUCAUUGAAUUAGUAUUAACAUUUUAUAUAAUCAAUUCAAAAUUGUCAGGUUAAAAACGACGCUCAAAGAUAUAUGGCUCCAAAAGACUGCGGGAUAAUUUCAAAUUCUUAAAUUCUUGAUUUGGCACUUGAAAGAAAUUUAUAUAUGUUCAAUUGAGUAUGGAACCAAUGAUCUAGUCGUAAUGUUUCGAUGUUUAAAAAUGUUAUUUCUGAGUUUAAUGAAGUAUGCUGUCGAUGCAUUGUCAAAAUGUUAAGGCACUUUAAAGGAAAUUAAUUUUCUUCAAGCAAUGGAAUUGGUUGUCAACGAGAAUGUCUUGCCAACCACGUGACAACUGAUCUCGCAUUACAAUGAAUGGUCUUCACUUUGCAUCUAAACAUCGCGAUAAACUAAUGAUUCUCCAUACUCAAGCGAAAAGUUUGGUCACUUUACCAAAAACAGCAAAAGCGUGUUCGAUUUACUUUGUCUUUGAGCCAUAUAUUUUAUUUGUAAAACAACCUGGUGUUACGCUUUUCAUUUCUCCAUCACUCCUAAAAUUUAUCAUUAGAGUUGUUUUACAAUAUUUGAAGUAUAAACAUUUAUCUUGAAAAGACCAGGUUCUCUUGUUUCCUCAAGAAUUAACUCUUUUGAUGUUAAUUCGCGGGCAAACAAGUUUUUUAAUGUUGUGUUUUCACUUGUGCUUAUUCACUUGUGUGGAACACAAUGUUAAUUGUUCUCUUUGUGCCAUGUUCUGUUUUCUUCUAUUGUUAUUUAAAUAAGUACAGUAUGCAGUGGUUGUUCUCUUUUUAUUAUUAUUCAAAUUGUAAAAUUACAAAUUCUUUUCAAUAAAUUGUUCAUUAAUUAUACAAGAGACUCCUUUUUAAUUCAAAAUUCAAUUCCCAUGGGAAUUGAAAAAAAAAAUAAAAAAAAUCCCUCUACCCCGGCCGGCUCCCCAAGUGCUACCUCUACUUCAAGCAGAAGUAAAAGUACUUCUACUUAAAGUAGAGGUAGCACUCGGAGAGCCAGCCGGGGUAGCGGGGCGAAGAGAAGACCAACCUUGCAAAUGCUAAUGCAAAUUGCUAAGUUGAUCUUCUCUUGAGAGCAGCCACGCGCAUACCUAGCAAAUGUAAACAACAAGCGUUAGUAACAAAUACUCGUCAUGCAAAUUUUGAAUCCCAUGGCCGAAAUGACAAGUGCCCCCCACUGAUUCCUACCAACUAACUACCUGCCUCAAUCCUAAGCUGUCUGCCUCGUUCCUAAGCUGUCUGCCUCGGUCCUAAGCUACCUGCAUUCCAUUCGUAACUUCCGCUUUCCUCACCAUCACACAGACACUCACAACUGCCCAACCCGCCACCAGCCCGAACUGCCCACCCUUAAAACUGAAGGUAUUAAAAUUUUGGUAAAGUAUAUUGAAUAAUUAAUUUAAUUAUUCGAAUAUUUUAGGCCAAACGCAAACAAAUAAAUUAAAGGUUGACGAUUAAGAAAGACCGCGUAUACAAACAG